UUAUGCCACUUGUAACACCACAAUUU
rnacentral:piRNA from 1 species